UUAAGGCUUGGUGGUUGCUACAACACCUAUGCAGCCAGUAUCAGACUUUAUAGCUUGAGUUAUAGGACUGUAUCUUCAGCUAUUGCCACUAACCUACAACACUAUCAAGCGGAGCUUCUUUGUGAUUUUUGUUGCUGUUGAUGACGUCACGGUUGCAAAUAUAUUCACGUGAGCUGUCAGAUGGCGGAGCAACUGGUCAGUGGAUGUGAGCAAGUUUGAGGUGUCUGGUCGUUUCCUGGGCAGGCAGAUAGAGAAUGUGGAGCUGGUCUUCCAGGACCUCCUUCAGCUGCAAUACGAGGGUCUGGCAAUCAUGAAGAUGUUUAGAAGAUGUUUGGGAGGGCUAAAGUGAACGUUAAUUUGCUCAUCUUCCUCAUAAUUAUAUGAACAAAAGGCAUCAGAACAUUAAAUUUGAUUUUCACUAGCAAAUUGCUUGCAUUGACAAUUUACUGUGCAUGUGAGCAUUUAUCCAAUUCAAGGAGAAGCCCUUGUUAUGCCUCGAGGCGUAGCCGCACGAGGGAUACCGUAAAGCUGACUGUGCGUGUGUGUCUAUUAUUACCGCACGAGGGAUACGGUAAAGCUUACUGUGUGUGUGUGUGUGUGUGUGUCUAUCAUUACCAAGGAGAAGAAAAAAAUUACUGCCUUGUGUCAGGUAUAUAGUGUUGUGCUUGUACGGUGUAUGUAAGUACAUGUAUUCAUUUGUCUUACACCAGUUGAAGUGUUUCACUGCCCUCUCUUCUCCCCACACAGGACCUCCUUCAGCUGCAAUACGAGGGCCUGGCAAUCAUGAAGAUGUUUAGAAGAUGUUUGGGAGGGCUAAAGUGAACGUUAAUUUGCUCAUCUUCCUCAUAAUUAUAUGAACAAAAGGCAUCAGAGCGUUAAAUUGGAUUUUCACUAGCAAAUUGCUUUGUGUUCAUUGACAAUUUACUGUGCAUGUGAGCAUUUAUCAUUAUUACCAAGGAGAAGCCCUUGUUAUGCCUCGAGGCGUAGCCGCACGAGGGAUACAGUAAAGCUGACUGUGUGCGCGUGCGUGUGUCUGUGUGUCUGUUAUUGUUACCAAGGAGAAGCCUUUGUUAUUGCUGUGCUAUUGACAAGUUGUAAUUAAUUAACAACAUUAAUUUUGUUUUUAUAGUGUCUAACAUAAUUAUAUGUACUAGUAUAUAAUACUUCACUACUUUUCUCUGUGCAUUUAAAUUGUCAUUGAAUGCAUUAUGGCAGAAUUAAUUAAAAUCAAUUGUCAAAACUGUAUGAACUAGUGUUCAAGCUGGCGCUGUGCUAAUGCCUCUCGCCAUGUUUUUGCUUUCGCUGAAAAGUAUUAGAGUGUUAUAUUAGUUUCUAUAAUGAAUUUUAUAUUAAAGUUAGCUUAUCUAUAUAAAGUCACUGAGAAGAAAAGACUUAUUUACAUGCAUCUAUUGUUGUAUUAUGUGGCUUACUAGGACCUCAAGAAAGAAGAAAAUUGAUUCUUCCAAGAUCUGUAGUUCAGUGUAUAUAAUAUCUAAGAAGAAAAGACCUGUGUACAUGCAUAUUGUUAUCUAUAUUGUUAUAAUUAUGGUAGUGUUUUGUGGCUUACCAGGCCCUCAAGA